UACAGAGGUCCCAAGCGUUGUUCGGAUUCACUGGGCGUAAAGGGUGCGUAGGUGGCCAGGUAAGUUUGGUGUGAAAGCUCGGAGCUUAACUCCGAAAAGUCAUUGAAUACUAUCUGGCUGGAGGGUCGGAGGGGAGACUGGAAUUCUCGGUGUAGCAGUGAAAUGCGUAGAUAUCGAGAGGAACACCAGUGGCGAAGGCGGCUCACUGGCCCGGUACUGACGCUGAGGCACGAAAGCGUGGGGAGCAAACAGG
rnacentral:rRNA from 1 species